rnacentral:rRNA from 1 species
UACGGAGGGAGCUAGCGUUGUUCGGAAUUACUGGGCGUAAAGCGCACGUAGGCGGCUACUCAAGUCAGAGGUGAAAGCCCAGGGCUCAACCUUGGAACUGCCUUUGAAACUAGGUAGCUAGAAUUCUGGAGAGGUCAGUGGAAUUCCGAGUGUAGAGGUGAAAUUCGUAGAUAUUCGGAAGAACACCAGUGGCGAAGGCGGCUGACUGGUCCGGUUCUGACGCUGAGGCGCGAAAGCGUGGGGAGCAAACAGG